rnacentral:rRNA from 1 species
UUUGACCUCCAAUCAAGGAAGACUACCCGCUGAACUUAAGCAUAUCAAU